GCCGACGUGGUGGAACUGGUAGACACGCCGUCUUGAGGGGGCGGUGACUUAGGUCGUGCGAGUUCGAGUCUCGCCGUCGGCACCA
rnacentral:tRNA from 1 species